rnacentral:tRNA from 1 species
GGGGGUGUAGCUCAGUGGCAGAGUGCUUGCCUAGCAUGUAUGAGGCCAUGGGUUCAAUCCCAGAACCACCA